UACGUAGGGUGCGAGCGUUGCCCGGAUUUAUUGGGCGUAAAGGGCGCGUAGGCGGCCACGCACGUCCGUUGUGAAAUCGCCCGGCUCAACUGGGCGGGGUCAGCGGAUACGGUGUGGCUCGAGCAAGCUAGGGGGCAAUGGAAUUCCCGGUGUAGUGGUGGAAUGCGUAGAGAUCGGGGGGAACACCCGUGGCGAAGGCGGCCAGCUGGGCCGGUCCUGACGCUGAGGCGCGAAGGCGUGGGGAGCGAACGGG
rnacentral:rRNA from 1 species